rnacentral:rRNA from 1 species
GAUGAACGCUGGCGGCGUGCCUAAUACAUGCAAGUCGAGCGAACAGACGAGGAGCUUGCUCCUCUGACGUUAGCGGCGGACGGGUGAGUAACACGUGGAUAACCUACCUAUAAGACUGGGAUAACUUCGGGAAACCGGAGCUAAUACCGGAUAAUAUAUUGAACCGCAUGGUUCAAUAGUGAAAGACGGUUUUGCUGUCACUUAUAGAUGGAUCCGCGCCGCAUUAGCUAGUUGGUAAGGUAACGGCUUACCAAGGCAACGAUGCGUAGCCGACCUGAGAGGGUGAUCGGCCACACUGGAACUGAGACACGGUACAGACUCCUACGGGAGGCAGCAGUAGGGAAUCUUCAGCAAUGGGCGAAAGCCUGACGGAGCAACGCCGCGUGAGUGAUGAAGGUCUUCGGAUCGUAAAACUCUGUUAUUAGGGAAGAACAAAUGUGUAAGUAACUAUGCACGUCUUGAGGGUACCUAAUCAGAAAGCCACGGCUAACUACGUG